AUCAUACUCCCUAUGUUUCGAAUUACUUGUCGCGGGUAUGGAUGUAUCUAGAUGUAUUUUAGUUCUAUAUACAUCCAUUUUUGCGACGAGUAAUUUGGAACGGAGGGAGUAUUAC
rnacentral:pre_miRNA from 1 species